GAGCUAUGAGGAAAACGCAGCUCUCGGUGAUGGUGGGUCCAUCACGGUGUCUGACAAAUUUGAUUAGAUUAUGAGCGCACCUGAGCUC